rnacentral:rRNA from 1 species
UACAGAGGUCUCAAGCGUUGUUCGGAAUCACUGGGCGUAAAGGGUGCGUAGGUGGCGUGGUAAGUCAGAUGUGAAAGCCCGGGGCUCAACCUCGGAAUUGCAUCCGAUACUACCAUGCUAGAGUACUGAAGAGGUGACUAGAAUUCUCGGUGUAGCAGUGAAAUGCGUAGAUAUCGAGAGGAAUACCAACGGCGAAGGCAGGUCACUGGGCAGUUACUGACACUGAGGCACGAAGGCCAGGGGAGCAAACGGGG